rnacentral:misc_RNA from 1 species
GAUGAAGAACGCAGCGAAAUGCGAUACGUAAUGUGAAUUGCAGAAUUCAGUGAAUCAUCGAGUCUUUGAACGCACAUUGCGCCCCCUGGUAUUCCGGGGGGCAUGCCUGUCCGAGCGUCAUUGCUGCCCUCAAGCACGGCUUGUGUGUUGGGCCUCCGUCCUCCUCCCGGGGGACGGGCCCGAAAGGCAGCGGCGGCACCGCGACCGGUCCUCGAGCGUAUGGGGCUUCGUCACCCGCUCUUGUAGGCCCGGCCGGCGCUUGCCGACACAUCAAUCUUUUUUCCAGGUUGACCUCGGAUCAGGUAGGGAUACCCGCUGAACUUAAGCAUAUCAAUAAGCGAGGA